rnacentral:piRNA from 1 species
UGGAACAGCAAUAGGAACUAGCUAG